UUUUCCUUUAUUUUAAGUCAAAUCUGGUUAGUAAAAAUUUGGCUUAGCAUAAAAAAAAUGUAUUUUCUUUUUCCUAUACCAGGACUUUGAAUGCAACAAAAGAACAAAUGAACUCCAUAGCUCUAAGAGCCCUUCAAAACUGAAUGGAUUCUGUCACAAACAAGGAAAAACGUGGCUGGCCAGACCCAGUUCCUGGGUCAAGCUACUGUAUUUUGGUGCUGGAGAGGAAGAGAUUUCCAGUGAAACAGUUAAAGGUAUCAAAAUGUCAACAGAUGUCAAAAGGAAUGGGUCCUGAAAUACCACAGAGUAGGUGAGCAGUCUCAAUCUUCUGUGUGGUUUUCAUGCCAGUUAUUGCCAGCAGAAAUGAAUAUAUUUUGAGUUACCUGGUCCUGGUUUCCUUACUCUAAAGAUGAAAGCACAUUCCAGUUAUAUGUACCUCCAUAUAGCCUAAGCCAAAGUCAAGGUAAUCUAUUUUUUUGACUACAUCUUUUUAUCUUGAACAACUAUUUCAGGAAAAAUACAGACUGAUGAUUCUAUAAUGUAUCAAUUAAUUAAACUGAUAACAUGUUAGAUAGACAAAACUUUCAUUUUGCAAUGACUUAUUUCUGAACUUUGAAUAAUUCUGAUAAAGUCAAUGGAAAUACAGAGAAUAUAUACAUAUAUAAA
rnacentral:lncRNA from 1 species